rnacentral:rRNA from 1 species
CCUACGGGAGGCUGCAGUGGGGAAUAUUGCACAAUGGGGGAAACCCUGAUGCAGCGACGCCGCGUGAGUGAAGAAGUAUCUCGGUACGUAAAGCUCUAUCAGCAGGGAAGAAAAUGACGGUACCUGACUAAGAAGCCCCGGCUAACUACGUGCCAGCAGCCGCGGUAAUACGUAGGGGACAAGCGUUAUCCGGAUGUACUGGGUGGAAAGGGAGCGUAGACGGCAGCACAAGUCUGGAGUGAAAUCCCGGGGCUUAACCCCGGAACUGCUUUGGAAACUGGGCGGCUGGAGUGCAGGAGGGGUAAGCGGAAUUCGUGGUGUAGCGGUGAAAUGCGUAGAUAUUAGGAGGAACACCGGUGGCGAAGGCGGCUUACUGGACUGUAACUGACGUUGAGGCUCGAAAGCGUGGGGAGCAAACAGGAUUAGAUACCCGUGUAGUC